UGAACGCUAGCGGCAGGCUUAAUACAUGCAAGUCGAGGGGGCAGCAAUGUCACCGGCGGACGGGUGCGUAACGCGUAUGAAACCUACCUUUAUCAGGGGGAUAGCCCGGGGAAACCCGGAUUAAUACCGCAUAAUAUAUUGAAUGGCAUCAUUUGGUAUUGAAAGAUUUAUUGGAUAGAGAUGGUCAUGCGUAGGAUUAGCUAGUUGGUAAGGUAACGGCUUACCAAGGCGACGAUCCUUAGGGGCUCUGAGAGGAGUAACCCCCACACUGGCACUGAGAUACGGGCCAGACUCCUACGGGAGGCAGCAGUAGGGAAUAUUGGGCAAUGGGCGAGAGCCUGACCCAGCCAUGCCGCGUGCAGGAAGACGGCCCUCUGGGUUGUAAACUGCUUUUGAAUGGGAAGAACGGUAAGCCUGCGGGCUUAAUUGACGGUACCAUUAGAAUAAGCCACGGCUAACUACGUGCCAGCAGCCGCGGUAAUACGUAGGUGGCGAGCGUUAUCCGGAUUUAUUGGGUUUAAAGGGUGCGUAGGCGGCUUAAUAAGUCGGUGGUCAAAGGUAGCAGCUUAACUGUUUUACAUGCCACCGAUACUGUUGAGCUUGAGAUAUGUGGAGGCAGAUGGAAUUUCCGGUGUAGCGGUGAAAUGCAUAGAUACCGGAAGGAACUCCUAUUGCGAAGGCAAUCUGCUACAGAUAAACUGACGCUGAUGCACGAAAGCGUGGGGAUCAAACAGGAUUAGAUACCCUGGUAGUCCACGCCGUAAACGAUGAUUACUAGUUGUUGGCCCGCUGGGGUCAGUGACCAAGGGAAACCGAUAAGUAAUCCACCUGGGGAGUAC
rnacentral:rRNA from 1 species